UACGGAGGGUGCAAGCGUUAAUCGGAAUUACUGGGCGUAAAGCGUGCGCAGGCGGUUUGUUAAGUCCGCUGUGAAAUCCCCGAGCUCAACUUGGGAAUUGCAGUGGAAACUGGCAAGCUGGAGUAUGGUAGAGGAAGGUGGAAUUCCCGGUGUAGCAGUGAAAUGCGUAGAGAUCGGGAGGAACACCAGUGGCGAAGGCGGCCUUCUGGACCAAUACUGACGCUCAUGCACGAAAGCGUGGGGAGCAAACAGG
rnacentral:rRNA from 1 species